GAUCCCCUUUACCUAACCACGCCCUAAUCGCGCGCAUGUAUAUUACGUCACUUCCUCUUCGCCGCCAACCUUUGCGACGGUGGAGAGUUUUGGAUUUGAUUUGCGUCAGCUGGAUUUGAUUUCCGACAGUUGGGUGAUCGGGUAGCCAAAACAGAGAUCCUAAAACUGUAUAUUUAACAGCUGAUCGCCACAGUCGCUACUAUUCCAUGAACCAUAUUCCAAAAACAUCCAUUCUUCUGUCAGUAACGGAUCACCUCCUUCAACAGAGUCACCACGUUCAAAGGAUGACUGCAGUUACAACCUGAAAGAUGGAAUAUGUCCUGGACAAAAACCGUCCUCCAGGAGCGCUCAUAGUGAAGGAGGAUGAUAUCUGCUCAACCUG